UACGUAGGUGGCAAGCGUUGUUCGGAUUUAUUGGGCGUAAAGAGCUCGUAGGCGGCUUGUCGCGUCGACCGUGAAAACUUGGGGCUCAACCCCAAGCCUGCGGUCGAUACGGGCAGGCUCGAGUUCGGUAGGGGAGACUGGAAUUCCUGGUGUAGCGGUGAAAUGCGCAGAUAUCAGGAGGAACACCGAUGGCGAAGGCAGGUCUCUGGGCCGAUACUGACGCUGAGGAGCGAAAGCGUGGGGAGCGAACAGG
rnacentral:rRNA from 1 species